CCUACGGGGGGCUGCAGUGGGGAAUAUUGCACAAUGGGCGCAAGCCUGAUGCAGCCAUGCCGCGUGUGUGAAGAAGGCCUUCGGGUUGUAAAGCACUUUCAGCGGGGAGGAAGGCGGUGAGGUUAAUAACCUCAUCGAUUGACGUUACCCGCAGAAGAAGCACCGGCUAACUCCGUGCCAGCAGCCGCGGUAAUACGGAGGGUGCAAGCGUUAAUCGGAAUUACUGGGCGUAAAGCGCACGCAGGCGGUCUGUCAAGUCGGAUGUGAAAUCCCCGGGCUCAACCUGGGAACUGCAUUCGAAACUGGCAGGCUAGAGUCUUGUAGAGGGGGGUAGAAUUCCAGGUGUAGCGGUGAAAUGCGUAGAGAUCUGGAGGGAUACCGGUGGCGAAGGCGGCCCCCUGGACAAAGACUGACGCUCAGGUGCGAAAGCGUGGGGAGCAAACAGGAUUAGAUACCCGGGUAGUC
rnacentral:rRNA from 1 species